GCCGUGCCUUGGCUGAAGCGUGAGGGCAGGCGUGACGUCCAAAAAUUAAUCGAAAAAUAUGGGGGUGUUCGUGUUGUUGAGUAGGUCAUGUUGGUAUAUUCAAACAUCCCAUUUGAGCAACGUAUGAGAAGUUAUUCCUAAGGUUGUGUAUGUUCUUUAAAUUGAUGUAAAAUUAGUUAUUUUGCAUCUAGGUGAGACGUACCCUGAGGACGAGCGUGGUCAGACAAGACUCGGGGGCUACGGUCCUGCUACUUACCAGUGUGCGGGCUUUUGUUUUCUAUAUAUAUAUAUAUAUAUAUAUAUAUAUAUAUGCUUUUGAUUCCCAUAAACUAUUUUAAAUGAACCUAUGUUUUAUAUGCCAUGUCAUGUGUGCAUUAUGUGUUAGUAUUGCAUUAGUAUAGCUAUGCAUAGUAUUUGAUGAUGCUGCAGAGGCUCAAGUAAGCUUCAGGUGAGUACAUCAUGAUGGUAUUGGUUGUGUUGUGUAUGGUUAUAUGUUGAUGCAUUUUGAGCUCAUUAUCCUGCACUUCGGUGUUAGUGCUCCUGCCUAUGGCCAAGGCACAGACCUUUAUGUGAUGUUCACCUCCUGUACCACAUGCUUACCUUGGAUCUAAGUUUGGUGCACAGUCCUGUCAUAUAGACAACAAUAAGUGGUUUCGAUUCGUUGGUGACCCGCAAUUAUUCGCACAGCCUUCACAUGAUCGUAGCGCUUGAGCGUAUUUAUUUAUACCCAGUCUUGUCGUACAAACCACAAUAGGUGGUUACGACUCGUGUGCAGGCAUACCUGAUGAGCUAUAGAUUCAGCUGUACAAGUCACAUUAGGUGACUCCAGCUGGCAUACUAUUUUACAUUGAUUAGUAUCACCUGGCUUACACAUCUUAUGGUUGAAUAUCUUGACAUGGCAUAUCUUUGUUUUCACUGCUUCUAAGCAUUAUCUUUAUGUAAUUACGUGUUAAAUUUUUUUGGGAAAUUAUACAGGUUUUACGGUGAGGGGUUAGUAUGUUCGUAAAGACAACUGUGUUUUCAAAGCUUUGUUUUUGCCCACUCACGUUUUUUGUUUUGUGCCCCUCCAAGUUGGCGGUUCUGAUAUCUUCAUAAAUAAGUAGGGAUCUUCUCCCUAUUUGUAUAAUUAGUACUUAGUUGGUUCGACUACACUUUUGUUUACCUAUGCUUUGAUAUUUGUGUAAAUUAUACUUGGUCAUCUUCACUCACUUAUAAUAUCUCUCCAGUGGAAUAAGUUUAGUCUUAGGGUUUUUAUUUACUCGCAUUUUCCUUCAAUUCUCACUUCUGUUGCAUUUUGGCUACGUCACACUCACGUGAUGGCCAACACGUCUCGACCUUGGUCAGGGUGUGUCAGCAUAUAUAGAUGAAUAUAUUUGAAUUGUAUCAUGCAUUUAACAAUAUAAUUUGAACGCCAACAUCAAAGAUUAUGUUAUAUAUCAAUAAGCAAAUAAAAAUCAGUCCCUCCAAGUCAUGCCUUUUUUCCGUAGAAAACCAUAGUUUCUUUGAAUUAAGGUUUAGGGUUAUUACUUUCAAUGUUCUUAACAUCUUCUUCGCAUUCAUAUUUACUAAUUACUGCAUAAGUAAAUUCUAUCUUUAGAUUGUUGGAGCAAUAUUAGAAAAUACAAAAAUAACACAAGAAUUCCAAUAAUAAUCAUAAAGAAAUUCACAUCAUGUAUGAAAUUAAUAUAAACAACUAGGGAGAAAGUUAGAAAAACUGACAAACUUGGAGAUUAAGGCUUGCAUAAAUGUAAUAUCCUAAAGACAGAAUUUCGCCUAUACUCUUGUGCUUGUAGUUCAGUAGACAUCCAUCUCUUAGUAUUCAACAAUCUAUAAUCCAAAGUCGAAGCAUUUCAAUUUUGAACUCUGGCGAACUUUAUAUAUUCCGUACUCUCAAGACACGACUCGGAAUUUGACAAACUAAGAAUGAGAGAAACAAAGUGGGGAAACCGUAUUUCUCAAAAGUAAAGAUUAACUCUAUUUUUUUAUAUGCACGUCUUAGUGUCUUU
rnacentral:lncRNA from 1 species